UGUUGAGUCAUAACUGUGCCCUAGUCGUCCCACCAACUGAUAAGCAGAAUCGAUCUCCUCCCAUCACCUCCAUCACAACCUCUCGACGGCAGCUUCAUCCCCACCUCAAUCGGCGGCAGCCUAGGGCUUCAUCCCCCACCCCCAAUUCCAUGUCAUGUGGAUCUGAAUCAGCCCACUCCCAAAUCUCCAAUCCACUCGCCGGCUUUUCCUCGUGCCCAGUUCACGACAUUUGCUCGGGGAUCUGACCAAUGUCGUCUUCUGCUCGUGUUCCUCGCAGCCGCUCAGAUUGGAGAUCAAGUGGAAAUUUUCUCAAUGGUCGGACAGGGUCAAGUUGGUGGACUUGCACCCCACAUAGGCAUGGAUGUCGAGCCUGUACUCGAGGAGUGCCUGCAUCUGGGAUUAUCAAACACAGUUUAGUCAAUUUGUAGGAGAGAGGACGCCAUACAUCAAAGAUGACUGAAGAAGAGGAAGAUGAAGAAUACCUCGAAGAGGAAGAAGAUGCCCUUGCUGGUGCAGGGGGGAACACAUUUAGUUUCACAACCUUCAUCUCUUAACCCCUCCGAUCCCGGUGCGUGGCGGAUUAGACUCCGAUGGGGAAGUCUCUGGCGAGGUGGAUCAAGUUCGUGCUCUUCGGGAAGAAGUCGUCGUCCAGGAUGAUUUUGGAUUCAAGCUGAAAGAAGAGGCUAUGCUGAAUAGAGUACUAAAGGAGACAAUCUUGUCAAAGGUAGUUGCCAUUGAACAAUUGCAAUCUGAUCUGGCAUCUUCAUUUCGCAUCCAAGAUGUUAUGAGAAAUGAGAUCCAGAGAGUCCAGAAUGAACUUUCUUGCAUAACCCACAAAGCUAAGCAGUUGGAGCUUCAGGAUUUCCAGUAAUCUACGAAGGAGCUGGCUGCUCUUCGUGGAACACUGAAAACGGUGAUGGAAGACAGGGACCUGUAGUGGCAGGAGGUGAAGUAGCUGAGAAGAAACAUGAGCAUCAUGCAGAACGAGGUUGUAUCGCUGAAGAAGAAGAUCGAAGCCUUGGACGAAGACAUACUUGUCAAGGAGGGACAGAUCACGAUAUUGCAGGACAGCAUCGACAAGCCGUUCAACAUCAUCUGCAGCCCAAGUUCGAUGCAAGAGUUCGACAUGGCGUGAAGACGGCUGCUGUUUUGUAAGUGAGUUGGUGGAUGAAAAUUCAAGUUAUUGUAGAAGACAACAUAUUUUUUUGCUUAUUACAGCUUGCUAUGAUGUUCUGAACUAUGAUGGGUUCAGCAGGCGCCAUUUUUCUCUUAGAGCAAUUGUUGACAUAUAAGAAAUGGUGGCAGCACCAGCUUAGGAUGUACAACAAUUGAAUCUCCUACAGAAGUUGUUUCUAAUGUGCUACUGAGCUCUAUUGUAUUCCAGCCUACGCAAUCUUGGUCUCCAGUGUGCCUCCAAGAAAAGCUCCAUAGCCCCAUAGUUUCUGCAAAGGUUCAACAACUUCAGGAUCAAUUAUAGGAUGAGAAGCAAGAAAAAAUGGACUUCAUGAAGAAGCGGAAACCAUUGAUAAUAUCAAGAGGUCGAUGGAAGAAAAUAACAACCUCCUUCGUCAACUAUUAAGCUUCAAUUGAAGACAAGUGUCUCCAUCAUAAGUCUAGUUGACUACUAUAGGAUCUGCAGUCUUGUGGCAGCUAUAGUAGGUGUUUAUAGUAGCUCUAGAUUUCAAGCUAUAGGAUUAUUUUUUAUUAUGUUUAAUGUUUAAUACUUUGAGUUGAAGUUAUAAGAUUUGCUUUGAAUUUUAAGUUAAAGGAUUUGCAGAUAUAUGGUUUGAAGUUAUAUGCUUAUUUGAUGGAUGAAUUAUUUGUGUUCAACAAAUUCAUACGAUAUUUUGGCUAUGAUGUGUAAUAUUCUAUGACGAUAUCAAUUCAUAUGAUGUGUUCCUUCC